UACCGCGACUAUACCACGUCGAAAGCAUCGGUUCUUGUCCACUCAUGGAAAUUAACCUACGCUGGGUCUGAUUAGUAUUGACAUGGGCGACCCCUGGGAUACUGGCUGUUGCUGAUG
rnacentral:rRNA from 1 species